CAGCUAGUUACAUUAUGGAUUAACAUUAAGAAUGUCUGCAGUGAAACAUUACUCCUGUGGCUGUGUAGGACUUACUUGAACAAUGUAACUUGUAUUGCAGAACCACGAUUUUCCUCACACACUCGCAGUAAUAUAUGUGACCAAGGCAGCUUUGAAGCCGUUCCCAAGAAUCCUUCCUCCUUCUGUGGGAUGCCUUAUCUGUGGAGUUUCUGAUUCUGAACUUCGUUCUGCAGUCCUUCACUCUUGUGCCAUGCAGUUGAGGAAGAGUUGCUCAGGUGAGCGAGGUGAGCCCCAGACCUUUAUUAGGGAAUGAAGAUGGCAGGAGUGCAUGGUGCAGAAGUGUUAAAACAAAAGCUUUAUUUGUCCCUGUCUUCCAAUUGGGAGGGGAUAAAAGGAAAUAAAAGUAACUACAGUUCAGUGGCAGGGAGAACAGUAUAAAGAGAAGUCUUGCAAAGGCUCAUUAAUAACCUGUUUGUCACCCAGGUCUCCUGCUGGCAAGGCCUCUCUCUUUUAUGCCAUGACACCUUUUAUAGGUGUUUCUGCAGUUCCCCCGGAAGGGUUCUCCACCACCACGGAGAGUUAAUCCUGCUCUGCGGUGCUGGGUUGCCUGAAUUCUUUUAUGUUAAAGGACACUUGUCCUGGGAGACGCAGAGCAGCUCACUGAAGGGAGCUGGGGGCAUCUUGCAGCACAGAGCCACAGGACAGGGAGAGGAACUGCAGUAUGCUGAAAACAGCUGGAAGAAUCCGCAGCCUGCUACAGUUACUCCUCUAAUACAGCCUGUCCUUGCCUGCUCACUCUCAUUCUCCCAUGAAACCUAAGUUACGGCCCUGCCUCCUCCUUGCUGUUUCUUUUUAUUUAUUUAUUUUUCCAGAGAGAACCACAAUUUGCUUAUGCUUUUGUAGGAGGAGCAACGAUUCCUUGCAGCUUUCUGCUACACGGUUCACCCGUGGAAGGGCCAGGUAGAAUCCGAAUGCAUUCAGUUUAGAAAUAAAACUUGGCGAGAACGAAACUGUCGCUGGGCUUUAUUGCUCUCAGUGAUGACUACAUGGUUGCUCACGGGUGUAAAUAAGUACAUUAGCUUCCAGUUUGUGUGCAAGUGCAAUGUGGAGUAUCAGAAAUUACCUGUAAAGGGCCUUGUGACGUACAGUCUGCAUCUUAGUUCACACAGCAGAAGAAAACACAUCUGUGAGUACUGUGCUCCUCCAUAUUAGCUCGUAUGACUGGGUUCUCUGAUGUGGUUUCAGAUCGAGCCCUGAUGUUUUUUCCACUGGAGGGGCUUUUUGCAGCAUCUCUCGCUCGUUCUCUCACACACAGACUCUCAGAUGUAUGCAUUCUCUGGUGCUGGCGAAGGCUUAACUUGCACUGCCUGUCUUGUAGAGACGCUCAGAGACAGUCUCUCCCUCCCCAGCCACAUAUUUUCACUAAAGUAAUUGAACUGCUACUUUUUUGGCUGCUAAAUUUGGUUGAUAUUUAGUUAAUGGGUUAAAAUGAUGAAUGACACUUGCAUAAACACACAUAACAUGUGGGAUCACCCUCCUUUCUGUUGUUGGCACGGCUGAAACUGGUUGUUCUAAGCUAUCUGACUGAAACUGUGUGUUACCAGACAACCCAGUCCGUGAAAAAAAUGGUGGGUAGCCUCAGUUACUGACUUCGAAGAACUGCUGAAAGUCACCGUCGGUGGUUCAGUGAUAUACCACGUCAGGAAUGUGAGCUCAUGCACUGCUUGUGCCAAAAGUAGAAGAAAACAUCUCAAAAACAGGUCCUUCAUCAGAUAGAUGUGAGGCUGACUGGGACCCCAGUCCUACACAGAGCGCUGUAUGGGCAGAUCUAUCUCUGCGUGAUGCGGGUGCAAGGAUCUGUGGGUAAGGGCUUCACUGCUACACUGCCUCAGCUCCCACUUUUAGCAUUUAGUGCUGUGCUGAAAACGUAGAAUUGAAUAAAAAUUGCUUUUGUUUUCAGGGUCACCAAACUCAGCAGUAUGUUACAAGAAAAGGAUGAGCCCAGUGUGGAGUUGCUGAUAAUUACUGAGUUGGUUUGACGUAUGCAGACUGCUGUUGACUUCAGUGGUCUUAUUUAACACAUUUGUUUCUUUGCAUUUUAGGAGUAGUCAAAACACAAUUUUGUGGGCCUUAAUCGAUGAGGCUGCGUAUCCUGGACUUUAAGCCUGGAGUUGCACACGUGUAUCAGCAGGAAAAAAAAAGUUUGGCCUUAGCCAGCAAUUAAUCAUGACUAGGACAAAUAACCUCUUCAGAACACUCAGGAUUUUUACUUUUAUUAAUCUCUGUUCAUAAAAAAAUAUUCCAAAGCAAGCAGUAGCACUCACAGUAGAGAUCUGGGGAAAUAAAUGGCCAAAGCUAUCACACUGUGACAGCUUUGGCAAACCUUUGCACAGUUUUAUAAAGCAAAUACAUGUGAUGUUCUAUUCUCUGGAUAGCUCUUUACAUUAGAUGUUCGUACUUGAAUAAAAUGGUUUUCUCUC